AGAGUUUGAUCCUGGCUCAGAACGAACGCUGGCGGCAGGCCUAACACAUGCAAGUCGAACGAGAAGCCACCUUCGGGUGGUGGAUAGUGGCAGACGGGUGAGUAACGCGUGGGAACGUGCCUUUCGGUUCGGGAUAACCCAGGGAAACUUGGGCUAAUACCGGAUACGCCCUCCGGGGGAAAGAUACAUUGCCGAAAGAUCGGCCCGCGUCGGAUUAGCUAGUUGGUGGGGUAAAAGCCUACCAAGGCGACGAUCCGUAGCUGGUCUGAGAGGAUGACCAGCCACACUGGGACUGAGACACGGCCCAGACUCCUACGGGAGGCAGCAGUGGGGAAUAUUGGACAAUGGGCGCAAGCCUGAUCCAGCCAUGCCGCGUGGGUGAAGAAGGCCCUAGGGUUGUAAACCCCUUUCAGCGGGGAAGAUAA
rnacentral:rRNA from 1 species